UCUGAGCUGAUUGGCUCUGAUCAGAAAUCUCCAUAUGAAAAGGGCAAGAUCAGCCGCAGACCUGCACCCCGCCCUCCGUUCCCGGCUUUCCUUCUGCCGUCAGGUAGUCUCCCCAGCUUUCGCGGCUGCUCCGCAGAGGAAGGAAGGAAGCGGCGCUUUCUCUGCAGUUCCUCAUCCUCCUCUUAUCAGCAUGCGGAUGUGGCUGUGUGUCCCUCAAUCUGUCUCGGGGGCACCCUUAGAGCACAUCUGGGCAGUGGAGUAUUCAGCACCACGGACAGCAUUGCCCUCCCUUCCGCACGCCUUAAAGCCAUUUGUCUAUUUCAGCGUUGGGAAGAACACACAAAAAAGGCGUUUCUCUUUGGAAGGCACUCACGUAAUUCCUAAUAGCCUACUGAGGAUAUGUGAGAAACACAAAUGCACACUGACCAUGACAACCAGGUUGCAAAUGCUUUGCCAUUUUACAAAAAAAAUAAAAAUACAUUUGACUAUA